rnacentral:rRNA from 1 species
UUAGAUGUCCGGGGCCGCACGCGCGCUACACUGAAGGAAUCAGCGUGUGCUUUCCCCGUCCGGCAGGACUGGGUAACCCGAUGAACCUCCUUCGUGAUAGGGAUAGGGGCUUGUAAUUGUUCCCCUUGAACGAGGAAUUCCCAGUAAGCACGAGUCAUAAGCUCGUGUUGAUUACGUCCCUGCCCUUUGUACACACCGCCCGUCGCUACUACCGAUUGAAUGAUUUAGUGAGGUCCUCGGACUGGCGCCCGGAGCGGACUCCGUGCCGGGCCGGAGUGCCGGAAAGAUGACCGAACUUGAUCAUUUAGAGGAAGUAAAAGUCGUAACAAGGUUACC